ensembl:lncRNA
GUCAGUGUUCACUUAAAAGUCUAAUUUCUCUGCAAUUUUGUCAGUUUAUUUUGUUUUAAUGUAAAAAAUAAAAAAAAUGAGUACAGAUUUUUUCUUCAAGAUGCCUUUUGUUCUUUGCAUAUUGGAUACAUUUAUAGAAAUUAAAAUUAAAUUAUUCAUUUCAUACCACAUACAUUUACAGAAAUUAAAGGGGUCAUAUGAUGCUAUUUAAAAUUUUCCUUUCUCUUUGGAGUGUUACAAGCUCUUGGUGAAUAAAGAAGAUCUGUGAAGUUGCAAAGACUAAAGUCUCAAAUCCAAAGAGAUAUUCUUUAUCAAAGUUAACACUAGUCCACGCCCCCCUGAAACAGCUUGUUCUGACACGCCCCCACAUAUCUACGUCAGUAUGUGGGAAGAUUUGCAUAACGCCACCCAAAUGUUCACGCAAAGAAAGAAGGCGUACCUUUUAUUCUCAUUGUAGUAUUGUUGUUGCCACCGCCGCCAUGUCAUAUAGAUGCUGUGUUGUUUACCUUGAAAGCGAAACUACUUUGUUUGGCCUUCCGAAAGAGGACGAUAUCCGCGGCGUCCAGCCCGGGGUUGUCACAUGUGGUUGCUGCAAGACCAAGCUACGCUCCUUCGUAGAAUCAGCCUGCAGCACCGUUCUCAAGCCGCCCGCUUCUGCUCAUUCAAGCUGGCUGUGGCUCACUCUAGGCCUCCGGUCUCUGCUCACUCAAGGCCGCGGUGUGUGAUGCUGUUUCGUUGAGAAAGCGAAACUACUUUGUUUGGCCUUCCAAAAGAGAACACGACUAGAAAUCUUGCUUAUAUCACGUUUAUAAUGGGUUUUAUGGUUUUGUCUCGUCGCUCCGGCUGGACAAGGCAUCACAAUAUGUUAAGAGGUGUAACAUUUCUGUCACACGCUUGAGGCAUUUGGCCAAUAACAACACGCUGGAUAGCUGGCCAAUCACAGCACACCUCGCUUUUCAGAGAGAUGAGCCUUGUGAAAAUCUACGCAUUUCAGAAGGCGGGGCAUAGAGGAGAAACAAUAAUGUACAGUAUGUGGAAAAUAAUGUUUUUUUUUUUGUUUUACCUUAAUCCACAUAAACACAUUUCAUUACACCAAAUACACAAAAUAAUUUUCUUUUUAGCAGCAUCAUAUGACCCCUUUAAAACAUUAUACUGCUCUA